AAUAGAUACCCGGGUAGUCCACGCCGUAAACGAUGGAUACUAGCUGUUUGAGCGCAAGUUUGAGUGGCUAAGCGAAAGUGAUAAGUAUCCCACCUGGGGAGUACGGGCGCAAGCCUGAAACUCAAAGGAAUUGACGGGGGCCCGCACAAGCGGUGGAGCAUGUGGUUUAAUUCGAUGAUACGCAAGGAACCUUACCAGGGCUUAAAUGUAGAUUGACGUAUUUGGAAACAGAUAUUUCUUCGGACAAUUUACAAGGUGCUGCAUGGUUGUCGUCAGCUCGUGCCGUGAGGUGUCAGGUCAAGUCCUAUAACGAGCGCAACCCCUGUUGUUAGUUGCCAGCGAGUAAUGUCGGGAACUCUAGCAAGACUGCCAGUGUAAACUGUGAGGAAGGUGGGGAUGACGUCAAAUCAUCACGGCCCUUACGUCCUGGGCCACACACGUGCUACAAUGGCCGGUACAGAGAGCAGCCACUUAGCGAUAAGGAGCGAAUCUAUAAAGCCGGUCACAGUUCGGA
rnacentral:rRNA from 1 species